GUGGUGGUGGUUCAGUGGUAGAAUUCUCGCCUGCCACGCGGGAGACCGGGGUUCGAUUCCCCGCUAGCGCA
rnacentral:tRNA from 1 species